UACAGAGGUCUCAAGCGUUGUUCGGAUUCAUUGGGCGUAAAGGGUGCGUAGGCGGCGCGGUAAGUCGGGUGUGAAAUCGUUGGAGCUUAACUCCGAAACUGCAUUCGAUACUGCCGUGCUUGAGGACUGGAGAGGAGACUGGAAUUUACGGUGUAGCGGUGAAAUGCGUAGAUAAUCGGUAAGGAAGACCGAGUGGACGGA
rnacentral:rRNA from 1 species